rnacentral:misc_RNA from 1 species
AUUAUUUCCCUAGAUUGGUGUAUUGGAAAAGGUCAGCAAACAGAAACCAGGGUAGAUUGUUCAUAUGUGAAUGAGUGUCCCAAUAUGGCAAAUACCCAGCACUGACAAAAACCUACCCAUCCAAUAAUUUUUGGAAAGAAUUCUUCAAGAUGACAACCAAUCACAUGCAGAAGAUGGGGACCAUUUAUGGCCCACACGAAGGUUCACUGUGAGGCUUAACAACACUUGAUCAGCUCAAAUUAAGCUUGUGUUUGCCCUUGGUGGUCAUCUCAAGGAAGAGCAAUUAAAGAACAGCUUUAUUGAGCAUCAUCAUUUUCUAUCAUCAAGCAUUUGUUGUCUUGUUAUUUUCAAGUGUUGAUCCCUCUUUAAGAGCUGCUUGUGCCUCACUCUCCCUUCCCAAUGCAAAAAGAGCUGUUGCCUGUAAAUAGGAUGCAAUAUUCCAAAUAGGGGAUAUUACUUGGGCUUGCACUGCAUCAUUAAGGGCUUCCUGUGGCAUUUCGUUCAUAAGAUAAGAUAGACUUCGGCGUGCAUAGACAGUUGGAGAAACCAUGGUUCCAACCUCAAUGAACUGGGAAUAGCAUUCAAUGGCAGCUCUAAAAUCUUUAUGCCGGAAGGCAACAUCACCCUUUUUCUUUGAAU